CUCAAUAAUAUGGAAUAGAGGUCUCACAUCAAUGUCACGGCCAUCAGGGGCAUGUGUGGCUCGAAGUUGGUUUAACAUUGUCGUGUCAUCAGAACUUGAGAACAAAUGACGAUCACCCCUGAAUCGUUGUUUUCUGGCAGGCUGAAUGAACCUACUACCUUGCUUGGAAGAGGGUCAAAACUUUUGAUCUGCAGAAAGGUUAAGAAUUUCGGAUAAGAAUUGUAAGUUAUCCUUGCUUUGAAUAAAGAUAGGCUGAAGAUUCUCAUGCUAGGAAACCUGAUUGGUUUUGGUACUAUUAUUGCAAGAGGUUGUUUAUGUUCCCAAUUAUCUUACCAUGAUUGUAUUGUAUUGUAUUGUAUUCACUCAGUGCAAAAAUAAAUGUCGUUAUCUAAAGAACUGUUGUUUGACAAUACUUAUACAAAAUUACAAACAUUAUCCUUUUCACCAUUCAAAAUAUUCUGAAAAAUGUACAGUAAGUUUUAGCACCAACAGGUUCUAUCUAUGUGAGCAAUGGUUAAAUUUUCCUUUUACAUUACUUCUCCAUUUCGGCCUAGAAUACUAUAAAUACCACUUAUCUGGCUAUAGUAGUACCUUUUAAGCUGAACACAAAAUAACUUGAACAUUUGUCCAUAAAUAAGUAAUAUAGCACUAUAAUAUCCAUCGGCAGCACCUUGUCCCUGGUAAAUGAAGAACAUGCAUAUGUAGUAAAGCAUGGACGCCUAAACAUAUGAGUAUUUAAUAAGGAAUUGGAUCGAUGAGCAUCUAUAAGAUAUCAAAAACAUAUUUUUUCAUCCUGGGACUGAGAUUUUAGAAUAUAGUUUAGGUUAAUUAGAUAUAAUCCUUGUCUAGACUAUAUUAGCUUAUUCGAUUCUCAAUGCGAGCAAAGUGUACGUAUAUACUGGCUUUUGUUGUAAUUCUUUUGUAGGAAUUUAUUACAUAUUAUGAUUUGCUUUCAGUUAUGUCUAUGGUUGAACCCAUUAAAGUAUAAGUAUUGUUCGUUGUUGCCAAGAUUACAUCCUUCAUGCUAUAUAUUCAAUUGGAUCUGGGAAAAGCUGAGAAGAGAACUUGAAAAAGCAUUCCUUAUGUUGAGGAUCUCUAAAGUUAGUGACCCUAUAAUUUAAGUGUGAUAUAAAUAUAAUAUAUGCUCUUUUCUUUUUGUCAAACUAAAUACCAUGAGCUUAACCAUCUAAGAUCCACAACUAGUUAUUAGUGGAAGACUUAACCACUGCAUUUGACCUAUACAUAAGGAACGAAGUACUUAGAAUCAUUAUCAAUCAUGAUCAUCGGUUGAUUCAAAGGCUCUGAGUUCCAAAUUUUCUUCUUCUUCUUCGUUGCUCUCUACUUUAAGGAUCUAGCCUAAAACUCGUGAAUCGUGAUACCAUGAUGAACUUAUAAUAAUAAGAUAAAAGGAGAGGAAUAUAUGGCAAUAGAAGAAACACAACAAACUGAUGCAUUGGAUGUAUGUACUGCAUUAAACGAGUUACAGUAAGAAUAUUUAUAGGAGCAUUUAUGAUCUCCAUGAUCUCUAUAACUAAUUGUCACAGUAACAAGAUAAGGUUAACAACUUAAAAGAUCCACUAAUUGACAUAACAAUCACAUGUUUAUUAACUAAGAACUUACUGACCUUAGAAUUAGAAAACUAACUAAUAACUUCUAAGUCAGCAGUUCUUCCUUAAAAAGAGGAGUCAUUAUAAUACUCACAGAAGUUCUAAUUAUGAUUGCUCUCACAACAAUUCAAAAGUCAGUCAUUUGUAUCCAGGAAAUCUACACCACAUCAUAGAUGAUAAAUUUCUCCAUAGGACGCUUACACAUUUCACAAAUUACGGCUUCUUCCAUUAGCUCUUUCUCGUAUCUACUAAUUCUUGAGUGGGAGCAUGGCUCAGUUAGUGGAGGUUCCAGAGAAAGUCUGAUAGCAUCUAUUAACCCAAUUUCUGGCAGAAACUUUUUCCAUACCUGUUCUUUACUCAGGAAGUUAGCCCAUUCAUCACCGUCAAGCUUUACAGUAUUUGUUGAAGAACCCUUCCCAACAAUUAUCCAGUCUUCAUCUAAAUCAUCAUCUAGUAAUGUUAUUACCUUGCUCAGAAUA